AUUGAACGCUGGCGGCAUGCUUUACACAUGCAAGUCGAACGGUAACAGGCCGCAAGGUGCUGACGAGUGGCGAACGGGUGAGUAAUGCAUCGGAACGUGCCCAGUCGUGGGGGAUAACGCAGCGAAAGUUGCGCUAAUACCGCAUACGAUCUAUGGAUGAAAGCGGGGGACCGUAAGGCCUCGCGCGAUUGGAGCGGCCGAUGUCAGAUUAGGUAGUUGGUGGGGUAAAGGCUCACCAAGCCGACGAUCUGUAGCUGGUCUGAGAGGACGACCGGCCAAAGUGUGACUGAGAAACGGCCCAGACUCCUACGGGAGGAAGCAGUGGGGAAUUUUGGACAAUGGGCGCAAGCCUGAUCCAGCAAUGCCGCGUGAAGGAAGAAGGCCUUCGGGUUGUAAACUGCUUUUGUACGGAACGAAACGGUCCUGGUUAAUACCCGGGGCUAAUGACGGUACCGUAAGAAUAAGCACCGGCUAACUACGUGCCAGCCGCCGCAGUAA
rnacentral:rRNA from 1 species